GCUAGUAAUCGCGAAUCAGAAUGUCGCGGUGAAUACGUUCCCGGGUCUUGUACACACCGCCCGUCACACCACGAGAGUUUACAACACCCGAAGUCAGUGGCCUAACCGCAAGGAGGGAGCUGCCUAAGGUGGGGUAGAUGAUUGGGGUGAAGUCGUAACAAGGUACC
rnacentral:rRNA from 1 species